rfam:Camelus ferus unplaced genomic scaffold scaffold688, whole genome shotgun sequence.
GAAGAUGUAGCCCAAGUGGUAGAGUGCAUGUCUAGCAUGCACAAGGUCCUGGGUUCAAUCCCCAGUAUCUCCU